rnacentral:rRNA from 1 species
GACGAACGCUGGCGGCGUGCCUAAUACAUGCAAGUAGAACGCUGAAGGAGGAGCUUGCUUCUCUGGAUGAGUUGCGAACGGGUGAGUAACGCGUAGGUAACCUGCCUGGUAGCGGGGGAUAACUAUUGGAAACGAUAGCUAAUACCGCAUAAUAGCAGUUGUUGCAUGACAACUGUUUGAAAGGUGCAAAUGCAUCACUACCAGAUGGACCUGCGUUGUAUUAGCUAGUUGGUGGGGUAACGGCUCACCAAGGCGACGAUACAUAGCCGACCUGAGAGGGUGAUCGGCCACACUGGGACUGAGACACGGCCCAGACUCCUACGGGAGGCAGCAGUAGGGAAUCUUCGGCAAUGGACGGAAGUCUGACCGAGCAACGCCGCGUGAGUGAAGAAGGUUUUCGGAUCGUAAAGCUCUGUUGUAAGAGAAGAACGAGUGUGAGAGUGGAAAGUUCACACUGUGACG